rnacentral:rRNA from 1 species
UUAAAUUGAAGAGUUUGAUCAUGGCUCAGAUUGAACGCUGGCGGCAGGCCUAACACAUGCAAGUCGAGCGGUAGCACAGAGAGCUUGCUCUCGGGUGACGAGCGGCGGACGGGUGAGUAAUGUCUGGGAAACUGCCUGAUGGAGGGGGAUAACUACUGGAAACGGUAGCUAAUACCGCAUAAUGUCGCAAGACCAAAGUGGGGGACCUUCGGGCCUCAUGCCAUCAGAUGUGCCCAGAUGGGAUUAGCUAGUAGGUGGGGUAACGGCUCACCUAGGCGACGAUCCCUAGCUGGUCUGAGAGGAUGACCAGCCACACUGGAACUGAGACACGGUCCAGACUCCUACGGGAGGCAGCAGUGGGGAA